rnacentral:rRNA from 1 species
UACGUAGGGUGCAGGCGUUAAUCGGAAUUACUGGGCGUAAAGCGUGCGCAGGCGGUUUCUUAAGUCAGAUGUGAAAGCCCCGGGCUUAACCUGGGAACUGCGUUUGAAACUGGGAGACUUGAGUGUGGCAGAGGGGGAUGGAAUCCGCGUGUAGCAGUGAAAUGCGUAGAUAUGCGGAGGAACACCGAUGGCGAAGGCAAUCCCCUGGGCCUGCACUGACGCUCAUGCACGAAAGCGUGGGGAGCAAACAGG